rnacentral:rRNA from 1 species
GCCGUUCUCAGUUCGGAUCGGAGUCUGNAACCCGACUCCGUGAAGCUGGAUUCGCUAGUAAUCGCGCAUCAGCCAUGGCGCGGUGAAUACGUUCCCGGGCCUUGUACACACCGCCCGUCAAGCCAUGGGAGCCGGGGGUGCUUGAAGUGCGUCGCCGCAAGGCGCGCCCUAGAGCAAAACCGGUGACUGGGGCUAAGUCGUAACAAGGUAGC